rnacentral:rRNA from 1 species
UUAAAAUUGUUGCAGUUAAAACGCUCGUAGUUGAAUUUCAAAGAAUCAAUAUUUUAAGUAAUAAUUUUGCUAUAAGAUGCUUAGACAAUACAACGUAUCUGUUCUUUGCAUUCCUUAUGCGAAAUGUGUUCUUAUUAUAAAAAGGAUUCUUUUUAAAAUCUCUUUUGCUAUUUUUUAGUAUUGGAGAUUUUGUUACUUUGAGUAAAUUAGAGUGUUCAAAGCAAACAGUUAAAGCAUUUUUACUGCGUUUGAAUACUACAGCAUGGAAUAACAAAAUUGAACGAGUCAGAAUUCUGUUCUUUUUUCUUAUUUUGGCUUAGUUACGAUUAAUAGGAGUAGCUUGGGGGCAUUUGUAUUCAGAUGUCAGAGGUGAAAUUCUUAGAUUUUCUGGAGACAAACAACUGCGAAAGCAUUUGCCUAAUAUAUUUCCAUUAAUCAAGAACGAAAGUUAAGGGAGUGAAGACGAUCAGAUACCGUCGUAAUCUUAACCAUAAACUAUACCAACUAGGUUUUGGAUGAAAAGUUUUUAAAUAAGAGAAUUCCUUUCGGGGAAAUUUCUUAGAUUGCUUCUUUCAGUACCUUAUGAGAAAUCAAAGUCUUUGGGUUCUGGGGCGAGUAUUCGCGCAAGCGAGAAAGUUAAAAGAAUUGACGGAAGGGCACCACCAGGCGUGGAGCUUGCGGCUUAAUUUGACUCAACACGGGGAAACUCACUAGUUUAAGACAAGAGUAGGAUUGACAGAUUAAUAGCUCUUUCUUGAUUUCUUGGAUGGUGAUGCAUGGCCGUUUUUAGUUCGUGAAUAUGAUUUGUCUGGUUAAUUCCGAUAACGAACGAGAUCUUAACCUGCUAAUUAGCGGCGAAUACGUUAUAUUCUUAUGUGAAAUUGAAUAUAGCUGAAUUUGCUUAUUUUGAAGAAUACAUUAGGAUACAAUUAAUGUGUCCUUUUCCCUAUUCUUCUUAAUUCGCAAUUCAUGCUGUUUCUCUUUUGCAUUAGAAUGUAUUCGUUUGAUUGUAAAGCUUCUUAGAGGAACGAUGUGUGUCUAACACAAGGAAGUUUAAGGCAACAACAGG